CCUACGGGAGGCAGCAGUGGGGAAUAUUGGGCAAUGGGCGCAAGCCUGACCCAGCAACGCCGCGUGAAGGAAGAAGGCUUUCGGGUUGUAAACUUCUUUUAUGAGGGACGAAACAAAUGACGGUACCUCAUGAAUAAGCCACGGCUAACUACGUGCCCGCAGCCGCGGGAAUACGUAGGUGGCAAGCGUUAUCCGGAUUUACUGUGUGUAAAGGGCGUGUAGGCGGGAAUGCAAGUCAGAUGUGAAAAUUAUGGGCUCAACCCAGAACCUGCAUUUGAAACCGUAGUUCUUGAGUGAUGGAGAGGCAGGAGGAAUUCCGAGUGUAGCGGUGAAAUGCGUAGAUAUACGGAGGAACACCAGUGGCGAAGGCGGCUUACUGGACUGUAACUGACGUUGAGGCUCGAAAGCGUGGGGAGCAAACAGGAUUAGAUACCCGUGUAGUC
rnacentral:rRNA from 1 species